CGCCAGGCUGUGUGGCACAUACAGUAUGUAAUUAGGUGACAGUGAAAGUCAAACCUGGAGGAAUGACAUAGGAAACACUUGUCAUGCUGUGUUGGUAAAAGACACCUUCGCUAACUUAAUGUAUCAUUCCAGGCGAAGUCACUAUGGAGCUACUUCAAAGGAAUCCGCAUUUCCCCACACACUGCAGCAUCUAAUGUACAAUGUAAAUACAGUCAAGCAACCACAAAGCCUCCUGGUCAGUCCAGGACUCUGCCAGCUGCUGCUCUGAAGUUACAGGCAUGGACCCUGUGACCCCAACAGAGCAGGUGAGAGCAGACAAGGUCCUGGGGCAGAGUGAUGUCCGUGGUUUUCUCUUUAAUGUCCCCUCCUCUCCCUCUCAUCCUUCAGAGCUGAGCUUCAAACAUGAUGGAGAAGGGAUUAAAACAGGACCACGGUCCGCUGCUCUUUCGGUACCCAGGAGAGGUGAUGCAUCAACCAAUGGCGAAUUCCUG